rnacentral:rRNA from 1 species
CCUACGGGUGGCAGCAGUGAGGAAUAUUGGUCAAUGGCCGUAAGGCUGAACCAGCCAAGUAGCGUGAGGGAAGACUGCCCUAUGGGUUGUAAACCUCUUUUAUGCGGGGACAAAGGUGUCCACGCGUGGAUGUUUGCAGGUACCGCGUGAAUAAGGCAUGGCUAAUUCCGGGGCAGCAGCCGCGGUAAUACCGAAGGUUCGGGCGUUAUACGGAUUUAUUGGGUUUAAAGGGAGCGUAGGGCGGUCUUUAAGCGUGCCGUGAAAUUUUGUGGCUCAAACAUGAGAGUGCGGCGCGAACUGGAGUCCUUGAGUGCGCGGAAGGCAGGCGGAAUGCGUGGUGUAGCGGUGAAAUGCUUAGAUAUCACGAAGAACCCCGAUUGCGAAGGCAGCCUGCCGCAGCGUUACUGACGCUGAAGCUCGAAAGCGCGGGUAUCGAACAGGAUUAGAUACCCGGGUAGUC